CGCAUUUCUGAGCUUUCCCCCCUUUCUUUGAAUCAGCAGCUUUUCCAGAGGUUUUAUUUGAUAAUACCCAAAUCUCUGCUUAGAUCGUAGCUAACCGCUGCAAAAUGGGCACCCCUAAGUAUCACAGUCAAAAGGUGACUGAGGCACAAAGUAGGACUGGAGUUGGCUGAAAAGUGCUCCCAGCUGAAGGGCAGAAAACACCUGCAUCUAAUAAAAACAAACGAGAAACAUCAUCAAUAACCAGAAGAAAAAAUGGCAUAAAUAAAAGGAAAAGUACAAAUUCAGAUGGUCUCUGGGAAACUCGAACAAAUGCCCCAGCCUGCUGUCUUCUGGAGAAUAGAUGCCCCAGGAGAACAGAAGAUUGAGCAUGCUGCCCUUUGGCCAUUGGCACUAAUUUGCCAAUUCAGUAGAGAUGACAAAAGAUGAAGUGGGGAGUCCAUGCCCAUCUCAGGUAAAAGAAUUGCCUGUUUCAAGAAAACUGGGAAACACUGAUAGGACAAAAUAAAUGGGAGAAGAACAAGACUCCUAUGUCAUCUUGUGGACUUCAGACACAGCGACAGAUCAAACGUAGUUAUGGUGAGAAAACAUUGAUAUUCUGCCUUCUCCUUGAGCAUAAAGCAGACAACAAACACCUCACUUUAACCUGUAAAUGCUAGGAGGGCUUUGUAUGGACGCUCUAGGUUUGUCGGAAUUUUCUUCCUUCUAAAACGAAUCUCAGAGUCACUGUAGACUAAGAAAAAGAGCAGAUUAAUCGAAUCGGCCUCCCGAACCACCCAGAUUGUACUUCACAAAGGAUUUUGUGUGUUCUUAGCAAGGUCAAUUGACUAAGUAGUCAUCUGUGAGUGUGGAUUCUUGUCUCUUUCUAACCUUCUCUCAAAUUAGGAGAUAUCUGGGCUUGGUGCUCUAUUUUGCCAGUUGCUCUGGCUUCAAAUUUUGAAUUUUUUUAAAAAAUUACACAGUUGAGUCUAAUGCUCAAUUUCAGUGGUUUCCAGGGGAUUAUUUGUAGUGCCUAUUCUGCUAUACAGAGAAAUCUUUCUUUAAAAACACGAUCCAUCUUUCUAGUAGUACUUCAUUUAGAAAUUCAGAGUGGGCAGAUAGCCCUGAGAUAUGGAUAUCCUCUUCUUUUGCCUUCUAUCUGAAAAAGGGGGAAAAAAAAAUCUAGUAUUUUUUUCAGUAUUGCUGAUGUCCCAGACACGUCUGAGUAACUGUCAUGUACAAUCAGUAUCUAUCCAUGGGAAUCUCAUAGAACCAGGGUGGUUUUAAUGUUCACCAGAAUAUUUCUGUGAGAGUUCCUAGGAUGCCAGGGAAAGCACUGACUGACCACAGAAAACAGAUAUGAGACAAGUGCAUGACGACUUUUUUUUUUUUUUUUAAGGAAAAAAGUAUUAAGGAUCCAACUGAGAACUACACUGACACAACUAUAUUUACUUUUGGUCACUGUUAAGUCUGUGUUUUCCAGCCUGUUAACUCCACGAGAAUAAGACAUAGCUGCAGUAUGGAGCUGAGUCAGUUUGGAUUCAGCAUUUAAAGAAAGAAUGGAAGAGAAGCAACCAGGUGUCAAAAGAUGUAAGUAGGUUAGAUCACAAUGAGGAGAUAGCCUUCCCAUCUGCUGGGAACUCCUUUGCAAGGUAAGACUGUUAGAUGUACAAGUCCCUGGCUGGGACUGGUGAAGAGGAUGUAAGCAUGGAAACUAACAGAGCUCUACUAUGAUCAAGUAGGGGAUGAGGGCAGCAUUCCCUAUAAAAAGGAUCUUGAGGUCCCUGCUGAGGUGCCAAGGUUGAAUAUUUUGCCAGAGGUGGAAACUGAAUUGAUUUGUGCCCCUCAGGCUAGCUCCAGGAACCUCACUCCUGCCUGAGAGCAUUAGUCCACAUGUGGAGAGAGGCUUUUCAGCUGGAGACGAGUUUAUGGCUUUUGACUUUUUCAUGUUCAUGUGUUUUUAUAAAGCCACAAUCGUUUUGUUUUUUUUUUUUAUUGGGCUUUUAUAGAAAGGUCUCUGAAGUCUAGCAAAAUCUCAGCUUAACAGUAGAGAUUGUGCUAGAGAGACAUAUAAGAAGUAAGAGAAAAUAAGAAGGCCAUGGGAGAGAUGGGUAAAUACAGAAGUGCAAGCAGAGUUCUGUCAAAGCAAGUUUCUGACUUACACAUUUAACUUUAUCCGUCAGCCUAGGGGCAAGUCUACAGCAUGAUUAACCUCCUAGAUCUCACUUGUUCCAGGUCCAAGCAUUAUCUGGCCAGAGUGCAUUGCCAAUCCACCAUGCCAGCCAUCCCACCAGAGGCAUCUUGAUGUCAGCAUUGAUGUGACCCAGAAAUGAGGGGAGAGUGAUGGGAAUUCACUGUGCUGGGGAAUUCAGUGCUGCAGAUAGUGAAACACCUUCCAAACCAGAAGAGGUUGCUCUGUGUUCCAAUAUUACUGAUGGUAAAGGAAAUGUUGUGUGAAAUGUUCUGGUCAGCCAAGGAAGUGGACCAUGCAGCAUGGGAUGGCAGCCCCUUCGUGAUCCCCGAGGCUUUGGUGCUGGGAUCAGCACAAGGAAGGACGCCAGAGGAAAAAGUCAGGUUCAGGUUGGAAACGUAUUGCUCAGAGGAAGCAGAUGGAAGAAGAGGUGUCUCUGACUUUGAAUCAGCUUCUGUAUGAUCAUGGCUUAAUGAUCAUAAAUCCUCUGGGGCCUGCAACCUAACAAGGGAAUAAAGGAGGAAGCGCCGUCUCUCUCAGAUCAAAGUAAAGAGAAAAGCUGAGAUGUAAAGGAGACAAAAUGAGCUGCAGGGCUGACUUGCAGCUGAUCUAGAGCACAUCCACAGCAAAAAUGCCACUGGGCAUUUUGCAGUUACUGCAGCAUCACUUCAGAUGAAAGAACAUGCACAAAUCCCUAACUUGAAGAAAAAUAAGAGAACGGAAGAAAAAGUUCACAGGCUGCUGUGUAGCUCAGCGCUCAGGUGAAGGACAGGGCUAUGGGUCACCCCUUUCCUUCCCACCCUGAACAUAAACGUUGGAUAGCGAGUGGAAGCUCCUGGUAUGAAGGAAGGUCUUGCAGGCCUGGGUAUGUUUGGCAACUGACAAAUGGAGGCCAUGGAGUUCUUCACAAAAGAUCAUACUUUCUACAGCCAUUUGCAAUGACACCUGCACUGUGCCAUUUCACUGUCCUUGGGCUUGGCAUAUAUUGCAGUGUAGUCUCCUUCUGCACAGGCUGUGGUGGUGAUUAGCUCGCUGGCUGUUUCUCUUGACUGUUCUGCUUCAAAUAGAAGAGAGAGUUGCAUGAGGAAUCUGAAGACAGACCAAGCCAUGGAAGAUAGAGGUUCCCAAAGGACACGUGAACUGAGACUGCGUUGAUUCAUAAAUCUUCAGGGGAUUUGCCACCCCUGAACUCAAACCUCUACUAUUCUGUUGAUCCAUACUACAGUAUGGAAGUUCAACUGGCUAGUUGUCUUAUGGGUCUUUGUACUUCCAUCUAUUGCUCCCUCACCAUCACCACUGAAACACACUUCACGGCAACUACCAAAUAAAGAUGACAAAUGUUACCACAUGACACCACAUAUUCAAAAAGUUUUUUCCAGCUUGCUUUUGAUAACAAUACAAAGAUGGUUUUGCAGAGCUCAAAGACUUCUCCCCCAGCCAAUCAAAUAAGAAAGCAUAUCAACAAUCUAGCCCACUUCUUCAAUGGAAUGCUGAGGAAAUUACCUAUUAGCUUCAGCUGCUCCAGCCCUGCCUCUGGAGAGUCCAGCCAUUCCUUGAUACAGCUGUGGCUUCAGUGCUGCUCAGCAUUAACUCCUUGCCUCCCACCUUCAAGUACAGACCUGCUCAUCCCAAAGUUUGGGUUGUUCUCAGUUUGUACAUAAGGCAGGCCAUAAGGCAGAAACUAAGAACAGUGAGGACUGUUCUCAAGAACUGUUCUUUAUUGGAAGAGAGAAUAUGCAUACAACCCCAAUGGGGAGGAACUCAAGGAGUUUCUAGCCUUCUCUUUUUUAAUGGCCCUAGAGGUGUUCUGUGGUAUGCCAAUAAACUCUUCCUUAAACAUCCUGCUUCUUCCACCUUUGCUCAGAAUUGAAACUAGCUGGAACAAAAUUCAAAAUAAACUUCUCACUGACCAAAUAAUGGACAAAUGUCUCAGGCAUCCUGAGAAGAGAGAGACAAUAUGGAUGGAAUGGAAAAGUGAUUUACAGGAACUGGCUAACACCGAACAGAUGAAGCUGUUUCAUAGACCAAGUGGGGGCAGGAGAUUUUCCUGCCAUGAAACAGCAUGGGAACUUUUCCAUAGGCUUUAACACAAUAGAAACUUCAUCUAACUACUACACAGACUUCUUUUUAAGUAUUUUUUCUCCAAAUUUCCAUGAUCUAGAUGCAUAAAUUGGCUUCUCCUCUGUUUGAUCUGAGAUAGUCAGCUCUUUCCUGCAGUACGAUUGUCUUGACUUACUGUCUCCAGUUUGAGAGGCUACAGUAGUGCUGAACACAGCUCUCUGCAUUUUAGUGGAUACCAAUCAUGUGGUUGUGACAUGUUUGGGUUUUUUUUUUUACUCUAGGGUUCAGAGGAUCUCAAGGGAUUUACCACCUGAGAUUUCCCCCCCCCCCCCCCCCCCCCCCCCCCUUACCCCUGAUUAUUUUGGAUCGAAAGGCGCAACAAAAUGCAGCAUAAAUAUAAAGCACAUUUUUGGCUAACGUCUGAAAUGCCUUCAGAUAUCAUCUAAAGUUACACACACAUGUCCCCAGUGAAGCCUGAAACAAAGCUCUCGGAGAAGACAGGAUUAAUUUGAGGUCAGAAGGGCUUUGCUUUCUGUCAUAACAUUGCCAUGAUGUAGUACCAAACUCAUUACUUACCGUGACAUGAAGCUAAGAGGCUAAGGAAUGGUUUAGUAUAUGUUAGUUCAUUUUCCCCUUCCACUACAAUAUCUUCUCUUGAGGAUGGCAGCAAACAAUCUAAACAAGGACUUGUGUGUAUGGAACAACUUAGUCCCCAUGCAAACAAUAUGGGGACAACAGGGAUUUCUGUGAGAUGUUAUUUUUUUUGUUGUAACCAAAUUGCCCACAGAUUUUGCUACUCUGCAGCCUGCUCAGAGGGGACUGGGUUCUCUAAUAAAGCCAUGUUGAUUAGACAGUUUCACAGAAGGGAAAUUAGUUCACAAUAUGUCAUCUGACCUUUUCUGUCUUUUUCCUCUACUCUGAUCAGUUGUGAAAUAAUCCCUUUUUUUUUUUUUUAAACAAUUUGUUCUUCAGUUUGGAAUAGUGACAGUAAAUAGUUCUUUAAAUAGCUUCAUUUGUCAGCUGUAUGCUGGGAUUAGUUAACAUUAAAAAGCAGACCUCCUUUAAAUGGAUACCUUAAGCUGUCCACUGCUGACCUUUGAUAUGAUCCCAGGUAGAUGUUCUUAAGAGUGCCUCAGAUUCACUGAUUACAAAGUUGGAAGUGAUGUCUCUAAUUGUUCAAAUCCACAACACAGACUUGAGGAUUUCCAUGAAUUCAACCCUGUUUCAAUCAGUAUACCAGUGAGGAAAAAAAACACACCACCAAAACUAUAUCAUCCUCAUUGAAAUAUUUCUAGGGCCAGAAUUUGUACCAUAAGCUAGACACUACUUGCUUCAGGGAUAAGGCGUACUUUUCACCUUGUUUCUGACCUGGCUGUGUCCAACUUCUACAUAUGAGCUGCUGUCAUCCAUGAGUUCUCUGCCUACUUUCUCCUAUCUAUCUAAAUAAAGCUUAGGAAUCAAAGUUAAACUUGUGAGCCAUGCAUGAAUGAGCAUACCUUGCUGAUAGUGGGAGAUUAAAAAUAGCUACCAAAGUUAAGUAGUUGAGUAUAAUACUCAAGCUCCCCAGAAGUUUCAGAACUUCUGUAGGUACCUCUGUGACCGUAUUACACUCACAUAAUCCACGGAGAGCUCUUCAUACAUUGUCUGAAGAAUCUGAGCAUACACUGCAGGUGCUUCUGGAGAUACAGCAGCCUUUCUCAGACAACAGAGAUCCAACCAAAGACCUGCAACUCACCUCGUGUAGAAAUCCAGAUGAGAAGAGGGCACAUAGCCAGGAAAAACCUACUAUUUAGGUAUCUCUCCAUAGAGCAACUAUCUUCUAUCAGUGUCACCAGCCCUCAGCAAAGCUGGAUGUCUUGAACAAUGCCUUAGUAUGUUGGAUACAAGCUCUGCUCUCCCCCCCUCUUCAGCAGUCCUUGAUUGCACACUUCCAGGUGCUGAUUUCCAGAUUAAAGCAGUCUUUAUUGUAGACUUUUCACACAUUAUCAACACGGUGUUCAAUUACAUCAGUAGUGGCAAAAUAUCAGUGCUUAGCAAAUAAAGAGAUUUUUUUUUCAGCAGGGAGAUCUAUUUUUGUCACUUCCUCCUGUGGGGCAGGUUAUCAAGAUGACCUGCAUUGCAGCAGAGAACAGCUAACUGUUUGGGGAACUGGAG
ensembl:lncRNA